rnacentral:rRNA from 1 species
AUUGAACGCUGGCGGCAGGCCUAACACAUGCAAGUCGAGCGGUAGAGAGAAGCUUGCUUCUCUUGAGAGCGGCGGACGGGUGAGUAAUGCCUAGGAAUCUGCCUGGUAGUGGGGGAUAACGUUCGGAAACGGACGCUAAUACCGCAUACGUCCUACGGGAGAAAGCAGGGGACCUUCGGGCCUUGCGCUAUCAGAUGAGCCUAGGCCGGAUUAGCUAGUUGGUGGGGUAAUGGCUCACCAAGGCGACGAUCCGUAACUGGUCUGAGAGGAUGAUCAGUCACACUGGAACUGAGACACGGUCCAGACUCCUACGGGAGGCAGCAGUGGGGAAUAUUGGACAAUGGGCGAAAGCCUGAUCCAGCCAUGCCGCGUGUGUGAAGAAGGUCUUCGGAUUGUAAAGCACUUUAAGUUGGGAGGAAGGGCCAUUACCUAAUACGUGAUGGUUUUGACGUUACCGACAGAAUAAGCACCGGCUAACUCUGUGCCAGCAGCCGCGGUAAUACAGAGGGUGCAAGCGUUAAUCGGAGUUACUGGGCGUAAAGCGCGCGUAGGUGGUUUGUUAAGUUGGAUGUGAAAUCCCCGGGCUCAACCUGGGAACUGCAUUCAAAACUGACUGACUAGAG